UGCUCAACCUCAACUUCUAAUCAGGCUUGUGGAGUGCAGAGGAGAACUCUGCAGACCGCCUCCGAGGUGAGCAAGAUGGCUCUGCAGGGAAAGGAGCUUGCCAAGAAGCCUGAUGGCCUGAGUUCAAUCCCCGAGGCCCACAUGGCAGAAGGACAGACAUGGAUCCUUCAAGAAGAGACAAGGCAGGUCUGCAGGUAGAUUGUGUGAGACACUUUCAGUUUUAAAACAGCAACACAAUCAAGAGAUCACCUCUUUUUCUGCCUCUGGAAUUUGGUGAGAACACAAUGGACUGGUGCUUGGAGCUGCUGCAGCCAUCUUGUGGACAUGAAGGGAGCCCCAAUCUACCUAGAAAAAAUGGAAGAACAGAAAUACAGGUACAGCUGGGACCAAGAUGAUCUUGCCACUUCAGUACAUUACAAAACCCGAGACCCCAUCUUAAAACAUCUGAUGAAAUAGAAGAGUCUUCUAUUGUUGAAGAUUUGUUAGAUUUUUCUGUUUCUUUCAUUAAAAAUCAUCAUAACAGAUA
rnacentral:lncRNA from 1 species